GACGAACGCUGGCGGCGUGCCUAAUACAUGCAAGUAGAACGCUGAAGAGAGGAGCUUGCUCUUCUUGGAUGAGUUGCGAGCGGGUGAGUAACGCGUAGGUAACCUGCCUUGUAGCGGGGGAUAACUAUUGGAAACGAUAGCUAAUACCGCAUAACAAUGGAUGACACAUGUCAUUUAUUUGAAAGGGGCAAUUGCUCCACUACAAGAUGGACCUGCGUUGUAUUAGCUAGUAGGUGAGGUAACGGCUCACCUAGGCGACGAUACAUAGCCGACCUGAGAGGGUGAUCGGCCACACUGGGACUGAGACACGGCCCAGACUCCUACGGGAGGCAGCAGUAGGGAAUCUUCGGCAAUGGGGGCAACCCUGACCGAGCAACGCCGCGUGAGUGAAGAAGGUUUUCGGAUCGUAAAGCUCUGUUGUAAGUCAAGAACGAGUGUGAGAGUGGAAAGUUCACACUGUGACGGUAGCUUACCAGAAAGGGACGGCUAACUACGUGCCAGCAGCCGCGGUAAUACGUAGGUCCCGAGCGUUGUCCGGAUUUAUUGGGCGUAAAGCGAGCGCAGGCGGUUUGAUAAGUCUGAAGUUAAAGGCUGUGGCUCAACCAUAGUUCGCUUUGGAAACUGUCAAACUUGAGUGCAGAAGGGGAGAGUGGAAUUCCAUGUGUAGCGGUGAAAUGCGUAGAUAUAUGGAGGAACACCGGUGGCGAAAGCGGCUCUCUGGUCUGUAACUGACGCUGAGGCUCGAAAGCGUGGGGAGCGAACAGGAUUAGAUACCCUGGUAGUCCACGCCGUAAACGAUGAGUGCUAGGUGUUGGAUCCUUUCCGGGAUUCAGUGCCGCAGCUAACGCAUUAAGCACUCCGCCUGGGGAGUACGACCGCAAGGUUGAAACUCAAAGGAAUUGACGGGGGCCCGCACAAGCGGUGGAGCAUGUGGUUUAAUUCGAAGCAACGCGAAGAACCUUACCAGGUCUUGACAUCCCGAUGCUAUUUCUAGAGAUAGAAAGUUACUUCGGUACAUCGGUGACAGGUGGUGCAUGGUUGUCGUCAGCUCGUGUCGUGAGAUGUUGGGUUAAGUCCCGCAACGAGCGCAACCCCUAUUGUUAGUUGCCAUCAUUCAGUUGGGCACUCUAGCGAGACUGCCGGUAAUAAACCGGAGGAAGGUGGGGAUGACGUCAAAUCAUCAUGCCCCUUAUGACCUGGGCUACACACGUGCUACAAUGGUUGGUAUAACGAGUUGCGAGUCGGUGACGGCAAGCUAAUCUCUUAAAGCCAAUCUCAGUUCGGAUUGUAGGCUGCAACUCGCCUACAUGAAGUCGGAAUCGCUAGUAAUCGCGGAUCAGCACGCCGCGGUGAAUACGUUCCCGGGCCU
rnacentral:rRNA from 1 species